rnacentral:rRNA from 1 species
UACAGAGGGUGCAAGCGUUGAUCGGAAUUACUGGGCGUAAAGGGCCCGUAGGUGGAUAGUUAAGAUGGAUGUGAAAGCCCUGGGCUUAACCUGGGAAGGUCAUUCAAGACUGACUGUCUAGAGUAUGGUAGAGGGGAGUGGAAUUUCCGGUGUAGCGGUGAAAUGCGUAGAUAUCGGAAGGAACACCAGUGGCGAAGGCGACUCCCUGGACCAAUACUGACACUGAGGGGCGAAAGCGUGGGUAGCAAACAGG